AGUUCGAUUAUGGCUCAGAUUGAACGCUGGCGGGAUGCUUUACACAUGCAAGUCGAACGGCAGCACGGACUUCGGUCUGGUGGCGAGUGGCGAACGGGUGAGUAAUAUCGGAACGUGCCUAGUAGCGGGGAUAACUACGCGAAAGCGUAGCUAAUACCGCAUACGCCCUUCGGGGGAAAGCGGGGACCUUCGGGCCUCGCACUAUUAGGAGCGGCCGAUAUCGGAUAGCUAGUUGGUGGGGUAACGGCUCACCAAGGCGACGAUCCGUAGCUGGUUUGAGAGGACGACCAGCCACACUGGGACUGAGACACGGCCCAGACUCCUACGGGAGGCAGCAGUGGGGAAUUUUGGACAAUGGGGAAACCCUGAUCCAGCCAUCCCGCGUGUGCGAUGGAAGCGCCUUCGGUUGAAGCACUUUGGCAGGAAAGAAACGCACGGGAUAAUACCCCGUGCAACUGACGGUACCGCAGUAAUGCAGCACUGGCUAACUACGUGCCAGCAGCCGCGUAAUACGUAGGGUGCAAGCGUUAAUCGGAAUCACUUGGCGCGUGCGCAGGCGGUUCGGAAAGAAAGAUGUGAAAUCCCAGAGCUGCACCUUGAAACUGCAUUUUUAACUACCGAGCUGUAGAGUGUGUCAGAGGGAGGUGGAAUUCCGCGUAGCAGUGAAAUGCGUAGAUAUGCGGAGGAACACCGAUGGCAAAGGCAGCCUCCAAGAUACCGACGCUCAUGCACGAAAGCGUAGAGCAAACAGAUUAGAUACCCUGGUAGUCCACGCCCUAAACGAUGUCAACUAGCUGUUGGGGCCUCGGGCCUGGUAGCAGCUAACGCGUGAAGUUGACCGCCUGGGGAGUACGGUCAAAAGAUUAAAACCAAAGUGAAUGACGGGGACUCCGCACAAGCGGUGGAUGAUGUGGAUUAAUCGAUGCAACGAAAACCUUACCUACCUUGAUGUCUGGAAUCGAAGAGAUUUGGGAGUGCUCGCAAGAGAACCGGAACACAGGUGCCGCAUGGCUGUCGUCAGCUCGUGUCGUGAGAUGUUGGGUUAAGUCCUGCAACGAGCGGCAACCUUGUCAUUAGUUGCUACGAAAGGGCACUCUAAUGAGACUGCCGGUGACAAACCGAGGAAGGUGGGGAUGACGUCGUAAGUCCUCAUGGGCUCCAGGUGCAGGGGGCUUCACACGUCAUACACGGUCGGGACAGAGGGUCGCCAACCCGCGAGGGGAGCCAAUCCCAGAAACCCGAUCAGUCCGAUCGCAGUCUGCAACUCGACUGCGUGAAGUCGGAAUCGCCAGUAAUCGCGGAUCAGCAUGUCGUGCGGUGAAUACGUUCCUGGUCUUGUACACACCGCCCGUCACACCAUGGGAGUGGGUUUACCAGAAGUAGUUAGCCUAACCGUAAGGAGGGCGAUUACCACGGUAGGAUUCAGACGGAAGUGGAAGCCGCAACAAGGUAG
rnacentral:rRNA from 1 species